ensembl:lncRNA
GAGGGCUGAGGGCUGAGGGCCGAGCCCGGGAGGCGCCGCUCUCCCUUUUCCUCACAGAAAGAAAGAGAGGGAAAAGAGGAAGGGGAGGGCGCGCGGGGCAAGGAAGGGACGGGAGGCAGAGGCUGGGCCGUGCGGUUCGCGGGCGUGGAAAAACGUUGGCGUUGAGGGGGUGUCCGCCGCCGCCGCUCUCAACUGACCGUGGUGUGCGGGGAUGUGGCUAGCCUCUGGCUGCUGCUGUGAGGAGGCGUGAUUAGCCAGCUCGGCCCACACGGACAGGGCUCGCCUUGGGUGGGCUGGCCUGGCCUCUGACAGAGCCUCCCAUCGCCGGGGGAGUGGGGCCUCCAGCUGACCGACAGUGGGUGACGGGGUAAGGAGGCCGCUGAGAAGGGUGACCUGAACUUGGUGUCUUACUGACUGGAGCAGAGCCAGUUGGUCAGAGGUGACCUGACUUCUGACUGAGGUGGGGAAGAGACCCCGCUUGUUUGAUAGUGCAGGUAGAUCCAUCCAUAGGAUAAACCCCCACAAGUGGAAUUAUUGGAUCAGAUCUGUGUUUUUAUUGUUAUUUUGGCAAAUGGCGCCAAAUUAUCCUAAUUUGUACCAAUUUGAAGUUUCACCAACAACAUGUGUCUCAGAAAUUUAAACUGUCAGAUGUAAGAGUUACUGAGUUGCUAGUUGACUGAAAUGCCAAAAAGGCACACGGUAGAGCUAUGAGGUCUCAGAGUGCAUGUAUGCUCUUAUGCUGUGAACGAGCAGAAGUUAUAAGGAUAAAACUAUGUCCCCACAUCGGGAAAUGUUGUAAUCCUGCCUAAAACUUGGGAAGCACAGAGUUGCUGACUGCAUUGUCUGGAGAAUUUCUGAAGACCACAUUGCCAACCAAGUGGGAUGAAUACUGGCCCUGGAGUUACUUUCCUUAACUGUAAAAUGAUCCUUUGUUUGGCAUGCUGGGAAAGCAUUCUGACUUUGAAGCCUGUGUGUCUUUAUCAACGUAUUGCUGUUCUCCAUUCAGAGCUAAGUUCUGAGUUAUUCUGUGCCUUGAGGUUGCUGGGGCAGAACCAGAGCACAAUGGAGGCUGAAGUUUCUCUCUGGCUCAGGCCACAGAAGAGCCAGCCACAUCAUUUGCCCUCAUGGUUCCUCAUCCUUAGAUGCUGCUUCAUUCCUUUUGGGAGCUUGGGGUUUAUCACGACUGGCUCUAGGAAUGUCCCUGAAAUUCUUUUUGUUGCUACAUCUGUGAGUGCUGGAUUUGUUUCCCAUACACUGUGGCCAGUGGCUUAGGGGAGUUUGUAUUCACUGCUGGAUGAGGUAUGCUAGAAUUUUCCGCUGGAACCAUGAGCCUCAUCCUUACCAGGGCACUGCCAUGAUUACCUCUCCAGGCUUAUCUGGAGGCAGAAACUUCUGCUGCCAUGUUGUGGAUGAAAGCUGGGGCACCGCCUCUGUUCACUGCUCCCAGGCUCUCUUACUUCCCUGUGUCCACGGCUCUGAGCUUGGAGAGCCCUGAGGUUGCUUUUACUCUUCAUUUUUGCUCUCUCCUCUGAAUAUUUUGGGUAAUGAUUUUUCUUCAACCUGACGACAUCUGGCUUCCAAGUCUGGCUAAUCGAAGACAUCAUGGCUUGAACCUCUGUCUUGAAUUACUCACUGUGGGAGAAAGCAGCUCUGAGUGGGUCAUCUUGAUGAGAGGUCCUUCAGCCCCAUCAGCCAUUCCGAUGACCACAGCCUUGGUUGGAAUCUUCAGCCCCUUCAGCCAUUCUGAAAACUGAAGUCUUGGCUGUCUCUUGUGAGAGACUCAGUCAAAACCACCCAACUCCUGGACUUUAAAAAUUACACGACAUAAUAACUAUUGUUCUAAGUUGUUAAAAGAUUAAUAUUUGAUACAAUAUUAGCUUUUGGGAAUUUUCCAGGUGAAAUUCCAUUACCAUGCCUUCAAAAUUGUCUUUUUCUUGUUGUUACUUCAGCCUAAAUCUCUUUGAAGAGAAUUAUGAAGAACCAGCCAAGGUCACCAUACCACUAUGACUAAUUUUAGGUGGUUUAGAGUACACUCAGCCAUAAUAACACUGAACUGAGCAUGCCCAGAAGCAUUUGUUUCUAUGAUUGACAACAAAUAAACCUCCAGUCACUUAAUAUAGAGAAUAGUCUGAUCAGCGUCGUCUUCUCAGAAACACUCUGCCUUUUGGGUAUGGCAUCAAUGUCUACAUAUCAA